rnacentral:rRNA from 1 species
AGCGAACGCUGGCGGCAGGCCUAACACAUGCAAGUCGAACGAACUCUUCGGAGUUAGUGGCGGACGGGUGAGUAACACGUGGGAACGUGCCUUUAGGUUCGGAAUAACUCAGGGAAACUUGUGCUAAUACCGAAUGUGCCCUUCGGGGGAAAGAUUUAUCGCCUUUAGAGCGGCCCGCGUCUGAUUAGCUAGUUGGUGAGGUAAAGGCUCACCAAGGCGACGAUCAGUAGCUGGUCUGGGAGGAUGAGCAGCCACAUUGGGACUGAGACACGGCCCAAACUCCUACGGGGGGCAGCAGUGGGGAAUCUUGCGCAAUGGGCGAAAGCCUGACGCAGCCAUGCCGCGUGAAUGAUGAAGGUCUUAGGAUUGUAAAAUUCUUUCACCGGGGACGAUAAUGACGGUACCCGGAGAAGAAGCCCCGGCUAACUUCGUGCCAGCCGCCGCGGUAA